rnacentral:sRNA from 1 species
CUCAGCACAACAAAUCAGGAGCUGCGGCAGCUCUUCUACCAGUGGAAGUGCAAGAAGUUCCGGGAUCAGCUGUCCCCGAAGCAGGUAGAGAUCCUGAGGGAAAAGCUCUGUGCCAGUGAACUGUUCAAGGGCAAGAAGGCUUCAUAUCCCCAGAGGUGAGGGCCUCCCAGACCCUGCACAGCCAGUUCCAUCAAGCAGCAGUUCUCAAACUUGAGCGUGCCUUAGAAUCACCUGGCAGGAUUGUUACCCCCAGGUGCUGUGUCCCUCCUCAGAGUCUCUGAUCCAGCAGGUCUUGGGGUGGGGACCAAAAUUUGCCUUUCUAACAACUCCCCAGGUGGUGCUGGUGUCUUGGUCCUGGACUGUGCUCUGUGGACACUGACAGAGGAUACGUGGACGUGGGGG